CUACGGGAGGCACCAGUGAGGAAUUUUGCGCAAUGGGGGAAACCCUGACGCAGCAACGCCGCGUGAGCGAAGAAGGCCUUCGGGUCGUAAAGCUCUGUCAAGUGGGAAAAAAAUUCUUUGAUGAACAGUCAAAGGACUUGAUGGUACCACUGGAGGAAGCACCGGCUAACUCCGUGCCAGCAGCCGCGGUAAUACGGAGGGUGCAAGCGUUGUUCGGAAUUACUGGGCGUAAAGAGCGUGUAGGCGGUUUGACAAGUCAGAUGUGAAAGCCCCGGGCUCAACCCGGGAAGUGCAUUUGAAACUGUUUCACUAGAGUAUGGGAGAGGAGAUUGGAAUUCCUGGUGUAGAGGUGAAAUUCGUAGAUAUCAGGAGGAACACCCGUGGCGAAGGCGAUUCUCUGGACCAAUACUGACGCUGAGACGCGAAAGCGUGGGGAGCAAACAGGAUAGAUACCCGCGUAGUC
rnacentral:rRNA from 1 species